CAGCAAACUACUUAGCCAAGUUUUUUUAUUUUUCUUGGAGACGGGUAAGGAGUUUUGGGCUUUGUUUAAACUGAUUUUGGUAGCGCCAGAACCGUCGCCAUCAUUCAGUGCCUCUCCAAUUGGGAACCCUUCCACUGGCACUCCUGCCUCUCCAAUUGAAAAUCUUCUUCUGGUGCCUGGUCCCUGCCGCUUGCUGAGUCGCAUCAAUCAGUGCCCCAAAAGGCACGGCAGACAGAUAUACAGACAGAUGGAGGAGACCGCGGAAACCGAGAGAGAUUCAAAACGAGAGAUCCGAGGCUAAGAGAACCGCAACAUAAAAGCCUAAUGAUCUCCAGCCUCAAGAUUGAGUUACAUGCAUCCGAAUCUCUUGCGAUCUCUGGCUCGUUCUCUCUCUGUCUCUCUGUGGAUAUUCCCUACCUCCCUAGCUCCUCCACAGCUUCAUCGCUCCAUCCACCACCUCUCAACAGUUAAUCACGAACUCUGGGCCAAAAGAAUGCCGGAUUAAGGCGGCGUCUCCCCCAAACACCCCAUCCCCACCACACAACUUGACUGGAACCAGUUUUUAUGGAGCGCCGGCUUCAAAGUUGUCUGUCGAUUGUUUGUGAUGCUGAAAGAAGGAGAGGAAAUACCCUCCGAUUGAGUGUGCAGUAUGUGGGUAAGCCCCACGCCAUUUGCAUUGAAGGAUAAACUGCAUUGAAGCAGUCCAUUCAGAGUCCUAUCUUGUGGGGGUAAAUAA